rnacentral:rRNA from 1 species
GACGAACGCUGGCGGCGUGCUUAACACAUGCAAGUCGAACGGAGUGGCGAACGGGUGAGUAACACGUGGGUGAUCUGCCUUGCACUUCGGGAUAAGCUUGGGAAACUGGGUCUAAUACCGGAUAGUGCAAGAUGAGCUCGCGGCCUAUCAGCUUGUUGGUGGGGUAAUGGCUUACCAAGGGGUCGACGGGUAGCCGGCCUGAGAGGGUGUACGGCCACAUUGGUCCUAGGGUACGGAGCAGAGUCCUACGGGGCGCAGCAGUGGGGAGUAUUGCGCAAUGAGCGGGAGUCUGAUGCGGCGGCGCCGGGUGGGGGAUGAAGGCCUUCGGGUUGUAAACUCCUUUCGACAGGGACGCGGUACCUGUAUAAGAAGCACCGGCUAACUACGUGCCAGCAGCCGCGGUAAUAC